UGUAGUGUCAAAUGUCUUGAAAUACUGUCAGCAUGAAGUAUUGUGUGAUGAAAACAAAGUGUAUUUACUACAAUGUAGUAAAUCAAAGGAGGUCCAAAGUGGCUGGAUACUGAAGAACAGUUGUAACAGGUAAAACUCUUGCCCCAAGGAAAGAAUGUGCAUUAUCACCUGCUAAAAAAGGAAGAAACAGGGGGAUACUGACUGAUGUAUGGGCUUUAACACCAGGUUUUUACCCUUCAAGAGUUGGCCAACUAGAGUGAAGCAGGAGAGUGGGCUGUGCUUGACUAAGAAAAGCUGGAUUUGUUGAGAGAUCAAUACGCAUUCAAGAUCCUUAAGAAGAGAAGGACACAAGCAACAUCAGUGGUAGAUGUCACUCCAGCCCCUGCUUUUCCGGUCUCGCCUGCUGCUUUCCAGGUCCCUCCAGCUGCCAAGAUCAGGUCUAGGCACUGGCUGCCAUCCAGGUCCCCCUGGCGGUUGCGGUCGUGUUCUCAAAUGGCUGCUGUACUGGACUACUGGUCCCACCAC